GCCACCAGCACGCGAUGCGCUGGUCGCGUGCUCCAUGACCCCCCCGACUCUGGUCUCUACUGUGCCCCGAUUGACAACGACUCCAUCAAUCAAUGCAUCCGAUCUCUCGGGUAGUAAUCGGAUCCUGUCGGAGGACCUACGCAUUCAUUCGGGCGGAGCAAGGCGCACGCGCUUCAACGCCACACCCAUGUCACCACCUGCCAUCAACUCCACCCUCACUCACAUGACUGUCUGUGUGUCUUAGUAGCAGAACCAAUCCUGCGUCGAAGCAGAUUCCCUUCUGCUCCAUCGCAUCGCGACAACAGCAUACGUCGCCGUUCGGGUCGUCCUCGUUGCCGCAUUUAUGGGAGCGGACGUGGUGUUGUUGAGGGGAGCUAUGGCGCCGCCACCCCCAUCACGCCAUAGCCAGCUCUAAAAGCUUGAAAAACUUUUUUUUUACCUCCUUCACACUGUCACUCCUGUUGACAAGUCAAUGUCCUUGCUUUCUGUUACUUAGAGCCUUAUUUGUUUAUUUAUUUAUAAUUUUUGUGAUGUCUUUAGUGCAUACUGUUUGUAUGAUACGGAUAUAUCACGUCCACGGACUUUUUUAACAGUUGAAUGUAUAACAGUUUUGUAUCAUCCACUCAAGUUUUA